CAAAUUAUAGCUUAUAUAAUAAAGCUUAUUAUUUACACUAAUAUGAAAUUUUUUUAUUUAAUUUGA
rnacentral:tRNA from 1 species